rnacentral:rRNA from 1 species
AUUGAACGCUGGCGGCAGGCCUAACACAUGCAAGUCGAGCGAGCGGCGGACGGGUGAGUCAUGGAUGGGGACUGCCCGAUAGAGGGGGAUAAGUACUGGAAAAGGUGGCUAAUACCGCAUAAUGUCGGAUAAGCAAUAGGGGAUUAGCUAGUAGGUAAGGUAAUGGCUUCCCUAGGCGACGAUCCCUAGCUGGUCUGAGAGGAUGAUCAGCCACAUUGGGACUGAGACACGGCCCAGACUCCUACGGAGGCAGCAGUGGGGAAUAUUGCACAAUGGGCGCAAGCCUGAUGCAGCCAUGCCGCGUGUAUGAAGAAGGCCCUAGGUUUGUAAAGUACUUUCAGUCGGGAGGCGUUACCGACAGAAGAAGCACCGGCUAACUCCGUGCCAGCAGCCGCGGUAAUAC